rnacentral:rRNA from 1 species
ACUCCUACGGGAGGCAGCAGUGGGGAAUAUUGCACAAUGGGCGCAAGCCUGAUGCAGCCAUGCCGCGUGUAUGAAGAAGGCCUUCGGGUUGUAAAGUACUUUCAGCAGUGAGGAAGGCGGGUACGUUAAUAGCGUGCUCGUUUUGACGUUAGCUGCAGAAGAAGCACCGGGCUAACUCCGUGCCAGCAGCCGCGGUAAUACGGAGGGUGCGAGCGUUAAUCGGAAUUACUGGGCGUAAAGCGCGUGUAGGUGGCUUGUUAAGCCAGAUGUGAAAGCCCCGGCUCAACCUGGGAACUGCAUUUGGAACUGGCAGGCUAGAGUUUUUGUAGAGGGUUGGUAGAAUUUUCGAGGUGUAGCGGUGAAAUGCGUAGAGAUCUGAAGGAAUACCGGUGGCGAAGGCGACCACCUGGCCAAUAACUGACACUGAGACGCGAAGGCGU